rnacentral:rRNA from 1 species
UCAAGAAAGAAAGGGCACAAGGUGGAUGCCUUGGCACAUGAAGGCUAAGAAGGACGUAAGUGAACGAAAGCUAGGGAAAGCUCACAAAAAGCAUUGACCCCUAGGUCUCCGAAUGGGGCAACCCGGUUGUGGAAGACACAAUCAUUACUAAGUGAAUACAUAGCUUAGUAAAGCAAGACCCUGCGAACUGAAACAUCUAAGUAGCAGGAGGAAAAGAAAGAAACAUCGAUUUUCUAAGUAGCGGCGAGCGAAAGGAAAAGAGCCUAACUCAUAAGCGAUUUAAUAAUGUUAGUCAAAUUAUCUGAAAAGAUAAACCAAAGAAAGUGAAAGUCUUGUAGACGAAAACAUUAAUAAACGAGAGGGAAAGUAUCACCGGGCACGAGGAACCCGGUGUGAAGAUAGGGGGCCCAUCCCCUAAGGCUAAAUACUAACAUGUGACCGAUAGUGAACAAGUACCGUGAGGGAAAGGUGAAAAGAACCCCGGAAGGGGAGUGAAAUAGAACCUGAAACCUAGUGCCUACAAGCAGACAGAGCGUGAGCGAACGUGAUGUCGUACCUUUUGUAGAAUGGGCCAGCGAGUUAUUCUAAAUUGCGAGGUUAAUGAUUUAAGAUCAGAAGCCGUAGCGAAAGCGAGUCUUAAUAGGGCAAAAGUAAGUUAGAAUAGACCCGAAACCGGGUGAUCUAUCCAUGGGCAGAGUGAAGUUGAAGUAAAAUUCAAUGGAGGCUCGAACCGGGUGCGGUUUAAAACGCAUCGGAUGAACUGUGGAUAGGGGCGAAAAACCAAACGAACCCGGAGAUAGCUGGUUCUCCUCGAAAUAGCUUUAGGGCUAGCCUCUGACCUAAGAUUUUAGGAGGUAGAGCACUGAAUGGUCUAGGGCGGAUUACCGUACCAAAACCUAUCAAACUCCGAAUGCCAAAAAAUCAAGUCAGGGAGUCAGACUUAGGGGGAUAAGCUUCUAAGUCGAAAGGGAAACAGCCCAGACCGACAGCUAAGGUCCCAAAAUUUGAAUUAAGUGGAAAAGGAUGUGAAUCUACUAAGACAACCAGGACGUUGGCUUAGAAGCAGCCAUGCAUUUAAAGAAUGCGUAAUAGCUCACUGGUCAAGUGGGUUUGCGCCGAAAAUGAACGGGGCUCAAAUUCAAUACCGAAGCUUCGGAUUAAUAGAGGGAUUAAGUUUACAAAUGAGACUAGGAAAUAUUUAACAAAAACAAAAACAGAAGAGAUUAAGAAAAUACAAAUUUCAGACGCAGACAAAAAAGAUAGGAUAUUAAAGAUAAGAUAUUCAAAAAAACACAAAAGUCUAAAGUCAAAGUGAGUAACAUAAGAAAUUAUGAACUAACAAACACUGGUUAGAGUUAAAAACUAGGACUCAUAGCUAAACUUAAUACCUCUAUUAGUGGUAGAGGAGCAUUGUAUUAAAGACGAAGCCAAGGCGAAAGCAAAAGUGGAUUUAAUACAAGAGAGAAUGCUGGCAUGAGUAGCGAGAAGGGAUGUGAGAAUCAUCCCCGUCGAAACCCUAAGGACUCCUGAGCAAGGCUCGUCCCCUCAGGGAAAGUCGGGACCUAAGCCAAGGCCGAAAGGCGUAGGCGAUGGAUAACAGGUUUAUAUUCCUGUACCGCUUGAAGUCGUUAAGAGAGAUGUGAUGACGCAAAAGGAUAAUCAAAGCCAUCCGAUGGAUGAUGGUCUAAAGCCGUAGGAAGAAAGGUAGGCAAAUCCGCCUUUCAGAAAUUCUAAAAGCCGAUAGGUAUCGAAAACAUAAGUAGAGAAGUUGAUGACUCCAUGUUGCCAAGAAAAGUCACUAUCCAGACCAAAGCGCCCGUACCAAAACCGACACAGGUAGGGAGGUAGAGAAUACCAAGACGCGCGGAAGAACCUUUGUUAAGGAACUCGGCAAAAUGUCCCCGUAACUUCGGGAGAAGGGGAGCCUGAGCAAUCAGGCCACAGAAACCAGGCCCAAGCGACUGUUUACCAAAAACACAAGUUUCUGCAAAAUCGCAAGAUGAAGUAUAGGAGCUGACACCUGCCCGGUGCUGGAAGGUUAAGGGGAAGGCUUAGAGCAAUCGAAGGCUAGAACUUAAGCCCCAGUAAACGGCGGCCGUAACUAUAACGGUCCUAAGGUAGCGAAAUUCCUUGUCGGGUA